ACGAGUUAGGGUUCUUCACUGGCCCGACCUCCCAACCCUUUGUUUAUUACACCUUGUGUUGCUUCGGUAGGCCUGGUUUUGUCCUGCCGGAGGGCCGUCACACGUCCUCUGGCGAGCGCCUGCCGAUGGCCCCCAACCACAAAUUCUGAAUCAAACAUGUCUUGUCUAAGUAAAACCAAAAAAAUACAAGCA
rnacentral:misc_RNA from 1 species